UCACAGAAAUUCAUUGCAUCUUCCUGAUAAGUGGAAUGUACGGUCAUACAUACAGACAGCAAACUCACAGUAAUUUCAACAGAUUCAUUAGAUUCUUCAAAUUGUUUUAGCAAUAUGUAGUAUCAACUGUUAGUGUCUCGAGUUUGUUGUUUAGAAAACAUUGUUAGAGCUAUCAGUCUUUCUUACAGAAUGCCUACUAUGAGCCAUCCUCCCUGGGGUUAUUCCUAGAUUUACCUGAAGGCCAUGGCACCCAUACUGUGUACACAAAGGACAUGAAGGUCAUUGUCAGCACAGGACGACUCCGCACCAUCACAGUCAAUAUGUGUGCGUGUGAACCAGAAACCACCGUAGGAUUGUACAGUUGCAUGCAAAAGUAUUCUUGAUAUUUUUCUAUAAAAUAACAACUUCUGAGUGAACCACCAUCAUCACCACGUUACCAUACGAAAUAGUGUUUUCACUGACUGCUGCUUAUACCGUAGGUUAACACACUCUACAGAGCCCUGGUGGGGGAAUCCAUAUCCCAUUUUAGGCAUCAGCACUUCCGACAAAGAAGUUUGGUAGAUAUUUGCCCACAGUUAGAUGAUGGGACCAUAUGCCCAGCAUGUCCAAAGGCAGAUGGAGAUAUGAUUGUGACAUUGGAUGCCAACUUUGGACUUGUGAGGAAGCAAAGCUCAGGUACAAGUGCAGUUGAGCCAUUACAUGGAACCCACAUGUUUGUUGAUGAAAAGGAUAGAGGAAUACCUGCUAUCACAUCUUGACAGCUCAAAGCCUCAUGAGGUAAGUCAUAGAUUUAGUCCAUGAAAUAUUUACUUAACUAUUCCUCCCAUAAAUCUAUGUUUUCCUUAAAUCUUUAGGACUGCAGUAACUUCAAGGCUGGCAACGUGCUGAGGUCACAAAAACAAGCAAAGAAACUUGACGUUACAGGAGUGUUUGGAGCCUGACAAUGACAAAACUAGAAAGAGUGUCACAUCCCUUACAAACUGUCAAAGACACAUACAGAAUCUAUAACCAGAAUCAAUUUCAAUUCAGUUUUAUUUAUAUAGUGCCAAUUCAUAACAAAAAUUCUCACAGCACUUUUUAAACAAAGUAGGUCUAGACCAUACACUUUAUAAUAUUAUUAACAAAGACCCAACAAUUCCCACCAUGAACAAGCACUACUGUAGGUGUUAACUAUUGUUAACAUGUAACCUUAUCAAUUAG